AGCGAACGCUGGCGGCAGGCUUAACACAUGCAAGUCGAACGCCCCGCAAGGGGAGUGGCAGACGGGUGAGUAACACGUGGGAACGUACCCUUUGGUUCGGAAUAACUUGGGGAAACUCAAGCUAAUACCGGAUAAGCCCUUAUGGGGAAAGGUUUACUGCCGAAGGAUCGGCCCGCGUCUGAUUAGCUAGUUGGUGAGGUAAUGGCUCACCAAGGCGGCGAUCAGUAGCUGGUCGGAGAGGAGGAUCAGCCACACUGGGACUGAGACAGGGCUCAGACUCCUACGGGGGGCAGCAGUGGGGAAUAUUGGACAAGGGGGGCAACCCUGAUCCAGCCAUGCCGCGUGAGUGAUGAAGGCCUUAGGGUUGUAAAGCUCUUUUACCCGGGACGAUAAUGACUGUACCGGGAGAAUAAGCCCCGGCUAACUUCGUGCCAGCCGCCGCGGUAA
rnacentral:rRNA from 1 species